UCACUUAUCUGGCAGGGGAGACACCAUGAUGACGAAGGUGGUUCACCCAGGGCGAGGCUUAGCCACUGCACUUGGGCUAUGCUGACCUCUGUGAAUUUCCCAAAUGCGGGAAUCUCGACUGCAUAAUUUGUGGUAGCGGGCGAGUGCGUUUGCGCUCACACCUC